GCAGAGAUUUCUACAAUCCAAUGGCCUAUUAGCAAUGUAGCUAAAUGCCCCAUAAAAAACCGAUAAGGUGAAUGUGCAACUCACUGCUUCACCUUUGUUUGCAUAAAAUGGAAAUGCUCUCCCGCAACAAAACAUGCUGGAGUAGAAAGACAAGGACUAUCAAACUGCUAAAUUAGUUCAUUUAAAUGAACUCGUGGAUAUUGCAGAAGAUUGAGGACAAAAACGAUUAGACGUCUUGUUUAUGAAGCUCAAGGUUAUCUAUGCAUUUUUGAGUUCUCUCUCUGAAUUUGAUGUGCAUUUGUAUUUUGCCGGGGGGCUGGAGGUCGGCCACAAAGUAAUUGCUAUGCCAGCUUUAGAGGAUUGUUACUGCAUAAAUGUACAGAAUAUGAAUUGUUUCAUAUCGUCCGCAUACUGGGAGAGCACAUUUCAGCUGUACAGUGUCUCCAAACACUCUGUCACAGAAGUACAAUUGAGAUUCUAAGGUUUUGCUGAAUGUAUCGCGACAUAAGAGUACCAUGUAGAUGAGAAAGUUGUGUAAAGAAUUAUUUGGCAAAAAGCUAGAAGAAUAGUUGAAGAAGUGGUGACAUGAAAGCUGUGCUUGAUGCUCUCUUUCCACUGCACUAAGUGAUCUUUUCCUUUCUUGAGUGACUACUAUGGAAAAAGAUGACGACGACUAUGUGCAAGUCUCUUGAUCAAUUUUUUCAAAAUCGUUACAAUACAUCGAUUGUGUUUAUACGUUUUCAGAUCGGUUGGUCAGGAAAUUUAUGAUUAUGGCAUUAAGGAAGUGCACCAUAUGUGUAUACGGUAAAAUCAUGUGCCCCGAUUUUGUGGGCCCGAAGGCUCACAACGAGGAACAAAAGGUUCGCGUCGAGGAAUAGACUCACUACGGACCGAGUUCGAGCCCGAAGGCGGAGCACGAGUCUCGAAGAUUUAAGCGUUCGAGGAACGUUGGAGCCUAGUGUAAUCAACCCUGAGAUAAUGCUGUUAUGAGUUUGUAACAAAAUGAGCAAGAUUCCUGCCACGUCCCCAAGAUCAUGGCGUAAGUUUCGGAAUAGAUUUGUACAAAUCCGUACU